rnacentral:rRNA from 1 species
UCCCUACGGGGGGCAGCAGUGGGGAAUAUUGGGCAAUGGACGCAAGUCUGACCCAGCAACGCCGCGUGAAGGAAGAAGGCUUUCGGGUUGUAAACUUCUUUUAAGGGGGAAGAGCAGAAGACGGUACCCCUUGAAUAAGCCACGGCUAACUACGUGCCAGCAGCCGCGGUAAUACGUAGGUGGCAAGCGUUGUCCGGAUUUACUGGGUGUAAAGGGCGUGCAGCCGGAGAGACAAGUCAGAUGUGAAAACCAUGGACUCAACCUAUGGCCUGCAUUUGAAACUGUAGUUCUUGAGUACUGGAGAG